rnacentral:rRNA from 1 species
UUCCGGUUGAUCCUGCCGGACCUGACUGCUAUCGGAUUGAUACUAAGCCAUGCGAGUCAUUGUAGCAAUACAAGGCAGACGGCUCAGUAACGCGUAGUCAGCCUAACCUGUGGACGGGAAUAACCUCGGGAAACUGAGAAUAAUGCCUGAUAGAACACUAUGCCUGGAAUGGUUUGUGUUUCAAACGAUUUAUCGCCAUAGGAUGGGACUGCGGCCUAUCAGUUUGUUGGUGAGGUAAUGGCCCACCAAGACUAUUACAGGUACGGGCUCUGAGAGGAGUAGCCCGGAGAUGGGUACUGAGACACGGACCCAGGCCCUAUGGGGCGCAGCAGGCGAGAAAACUUUGCAAUGUGCGAAAGCACGACAAGGUUAAUCCGAGUGGUUCCUGCUAAAGGAACCUUUUGUCAGUCGUAAAACCACUAAUGAAUAAGGGGUGGGCAAGUUCUGGUGUCAGCCGCCGCGGUAAAACCAGCACCUCAAGUGGUCAGGAUGAUUAUUGGGCCUAAAGCAUCCGUAGCCUGGUGCAUAAGUUUUCGGUUAAAUCCAUAUGCUCAACAUAUGGGCCGCCGGGAAUACUGUGCACCUAGGGAGUGGGAGAGGUAGACGGUACUCAAUAGGAAGGGGUAAAAUCCUUUGAUCUAUUGAUGACCACCUGUGGCGAAGGCGGUCUACCAGAACACGUUCGACGGUGAGGGAUGAAAGCUGGGGGAGCAAACCGGAUUAGAUACCCGGGUAGUCCCAGCUGUAAACUAUGCAAACUCAGUGAUGCAUUGGCAUGUAGCUAAUGCAGUGCCGCAGGG